rnacentral:rRNA from 1 species
AGAGUUUGAUCAUGGCUCAGAAUGAACGUUGGCGGCGUGGAUUAGGCAUGCAAGUCGUGCGGAAAGGCUCCUUCGGGAGUACUCGAGCGGCGAAAGGGAGAGUAACGCGUGGAUAAUCUGCCCCUCGGACCGGGAUAGCGGCGGGAAACUGCCGGUAAUACCGGAUAAUAUCUCCGGAUCAAAGGUGAGAUUCCGCCGAGGGAUGAGUCCGCGUCCUAUUAGCUUGUUGGUGGGGUAACGGCCUACCAAGGCUGAGAUGGGUACCGGGUGUGAGAGCAUGGCCCGGCUCACUGGGACUGAGACACUGCCCAGACACCUACGGGUGGCUGCAGUCGAGAAUCUUCGGCAAUGGGCGCAAGCCUGACCGAGCGACGCCGCGUGCGGGAUGAAGGCCUUCGGGUUGUAAACCGCUGUCAGAGGGGAGGAAAUGCAUGAGGGUUCUCUCUCAUGUUUGACCUUCC